AUAAUAUCCUCAGCUUCUGCUCGAGGCAAUAUCGUUGCUCCAGGAAACAGUCUUACUGUCGUCAGAAGGUUGUAUAAUGUAGAAAUGAUCAAUGGGAUAUUUUCUCACUUUCGAAGAUCAACUUUAGUGACAACUAUUUCUGUUUACUAUGUUAUUUUCGGUUAUCAAUAAUUCAAUGUCAAAAAUUUUUAUUAUAAAUUAAAACACGUCAAACGAUAUUCAUAUUUUGGUUCUCAUGUUAACAACUUCAAACGUUCAUGGUAAAGUUGAAUUACCAAGCGUGACAUUACAAUUGUUGACAGCCGACAAAAAGUUUGCAGGAAUAUGGAUUUGGAUGUGAAAAAUGGUAAUAUAAUAGUAUGAUAAUGAAGAAAAUAUUCAUUUACAAAUUUCCUUCUCCUACAUUAUUACAUUGUCCAACUGCCUAACGACAAAGAAUAUUUCCUGGAUCUUUGAUAUUGCCUCGAGCAGAAUCACAAUUUUCAAGAAAAAAGGAUAGGUUUCAAGACAUAGAGUGCCCAAAUUUUAGAUAUGGUUCAUGCAAUACUCCCUCACAAUAGCUUUUGAUCACAAUACAAGAAAAAUUUGCCUAUUUUAGAAGUACAGAAGUUCCGAAAAAUUAAUUCUGCUGCAUGGAACAAAAAAUGUUGCUAUUUUUAUGAGCUUCAUGUAAAUCUAAGGAAUUAAUGCACAUUCGAAUUUCAUCAUGGGGCCAUUUGAAAUUUUGUGCACUUCCGCAGGAAUCUUGCUCUUGCUUUAUUACUACAUUACAUCUAAUCAUGAUUUUUGGAAAAUUCGAGGUGUCCAAAUUUUCGGACCGUGGAUUAAAAAUUCACGAACAAGGGAAAAUUAGAGAAAUAACACCGUGGUUAUAUGAUUUUCUUGGAACCCUUGUAGCGACGGCUGAAAUAAACAACUUUUUCAUCAACUUAAUUAAGGACACGAUGCAGUACAGAAAGGAAAAUAAUGUCGUGAGGCAUGACUUUGUUGAUUCAUUGAGACAUGUGAAAGAAAAUCCUAAUAGAUUAGGUGAUAUAGAUACUUCGAGUCAAGACAAACUGAAAAGAAAUUCAACAAGAAAUAAAGGAGACUGGUGGAAAAUUUAUUUACGACCGUCUGAAACAUAUGAAAUAUCUACACAAGGUCUUUAAAGAAACUCUUAGAAAGUAUCCACCAAUAACGGUACUAAUGAGGAACUCAACAGAAAAAUACACAUUUUCUGGUACUACUGUGACAGUUCCAAAAGACCAGAGAAUUUGGAUACCCAUCUACGCUAUUCAACGUCAUCCAAACAAUUAUCCAGAUCCAGAUACAUUUGAUCCAGAUUUAAUGAUGAGGCAGCGCAAAGAAUACAUCCAAUGCAUCACUUAUCUUUUGGAAGUGGUCCCAGAAAUUGCAUUGGUAAUUAUUUUGUUAAAACAUUUCUUUGUCAGAACAGAAAUUGUGUAGGGAUAAGGCGACUUUAUCUCCCAGAAGUCCUCUUCUUGAAAUGUGAAGAAUAUAUGAGACAUGUCACAUCUCCUCGUCUUUACCUGAGAAAGAAUUAAAACUCUUGUCUAGGGAAAAGGAAAGAAGUCAAAGGAGUGGGUAGAUUGAAGAAGGUGGUAUCUGAAAAGUACAAGAGAAAAGGUAGUAUGUGAUUGGUGCAGGGGAAAAGGAGGUAUUUGAGCGGUGGAAGGUGAAUAGUGGCAACUUGCUUCCUGAAACAGAGCUAACAACAUAUUUUUAUAAUAUAGAGAUUAUAAAAAACAAGUAUUUUUAUUUCAGGAGAAAGAUUUGCAGUCUCUCAAACAAAAAUACUGAACUUUUUGUAUUCCAUAUUCAUAUAUGGAUUAUGAACAUAGGGCAUAGCAGUUUUCUCACAGACGUCAACUUUAUAAUCCUUCAAUAUUUUGAU